rnacentral:rRNA from 1 species
CUACGGGAAGGCAGCAGUAGGGAAUCUUCGGCAAUGGACGAAAGUCUGACCGAGCAACGCCGCGUGAGUGAAGAAGGUUUUCGGAUCGUAAAACUCUGUUGUUAGAGAAGAACAAGGACGUUAGUAACUGAACGUCCCCUGACGGUAUCUAACCAGAAAGCCACGGCUAACUACGUGCCAGCAGCCGCGGUAAUACGUAGGUGGCAAGCGUUGUCCGGAUUUAUUGGGCGUAAAGCGAGCGCAGGCGGUUUCUUAAGUCUGAUGUGAAAGCCCCCGGCUCAACCGGGGAGGGUCAUUGGAAACUGGGAGACUUGAGUGCAGAAGAGGAGAGUGGAAUUCCAUGUGUAGCGGUGAAAUGCGUAGAUAUAUGGAGGAACACCAGUGGCGAAGGCGGCUCUCUGGUCUGUAACUGACGCUGAGGCUCGAAAGCGUGGGGAGCAAACAGGAUUAGAUACCCUGGUAGUCCACGCCGUAAACGAUGAGUGCUAAGUGUUGGAGGGUUUCCGCCCUUCAGUGCUGCAGCAAACGCAUUAAGCAACUCCGCCCUGGGAAUUACAACCAACAAGG